rnacentral:tRNA from 1 species
GGAUAGUUGGCAGAGUGGUAAUGCAGCUGAGUGCUAAUCAGUAGACUGGAAACGGUCCAUAGGUUCGAAUCCUAUACUAUCCGCCA